GACGGAAGGUGCAAGCGUUGCUCGGAAUCACUGGGCGUAAAGGGUGCGUAGGCGGCCGCGCAAGUCUGGCGUGAAAGCCCCGGGCUCAGCCCGGGAAGGGCGCUCGAAACGGCGCGGCUCGAGUGCCGGAGGGGAGAGUGGAAUUCCUGGUGUAGCGGUGAAAUGCGUAGAUAUCAGGAGGAAUACCGGUGGCGAAGGCGGAUCUCUGGGCCAUUACUGACGCUGAGGAGCGAAAGCGUGGGGAGCGAACAGG
rnacentral:rRNA from 1 species